rnacentral:lncRNA from 1 species
UUUUGAGUUAGCUGGAAAAUUCAUUCACAUAUGUAAAGAAACAAAAAUACAAUCCACGCAAGUGAACCUGGGUUGGGUAUGCAUGCUUUAGGGGGUAGAUGGGAGAAUUGUGCAAAGUGUAUCUUGACCGUAAGCAUGUGGAGUGUGUAUGAGACCAUCCUGCUGAAGAUUUGGGCAUCACCAUGCCCUCAGGGUGAGCACUUCCCCAGAAGGCAUUUGCUCCAUGGUCCUGUGAGCAAGAACCCAAGUUUCCAAGUUUUGGAGCCCAUGAUGGUGAUAGUUGUCACUGAUGACUUGGGGACCAUUCUUGGAUGCUGAGCA